ensembl:lncRNA
UGGGGGCCCCGGUUCGCACCAGGGCCGGGCGGCGGGGUAGCUGCUCCGCGAUGGCAGCUGUCGUGUCACUAAGCUCUGCGAUCGUCCGAGGCCGGGCUGCGUCUUCGCGGAGAACGCCUGUAGUUUCUUCUGUUCACAUUGCGGGCUCGUCGUUUGUGUGGACCACACACGGGUCCCUUCCCGCGGGUGACAACAGGGAACGAGGCGGGCGAGCAAGGAGGUCGCCCAAUGCGCGGCUGUAGUCCUGCCCGGGCACGGUGGUCAGAGGCACUAAACAAAUGUUUGAGACCCGGAAAGUGGCCGGGGCAGUGCGGUGAGGGUACAAGGAAACGCGAGCCUGGCGCGGUCUUCAGUCCUGGGAGAGCCUCUCAACACGCGCGGACGGGAGACCGCUCAGAGGAGAGAAAUGCGAACUCAGAGGAAACGAGUGCGGAGUGGUGGUGCUGUGCCUUUUCCGCCCUGCGAUUCGAGAUUGUUCCGCUGGCGUUCAUGCUGUUUGGUUGUAGCCGGGCAAUCACCGCAGACAGUUACACCCCUUACAGACACUCUCUCUCUCCUGGGCACGAGGCUCCCUGGUUCAGAUCAUCCAUGACCCAUUUCUCUACACUCAAGGAGUUAUCUGGCCACGUUGGCUCCAGCUCUAAUGGAGUGAGUUGAGCAGUGAUGGACCCAGAGGAGAGUGGAGACAACAGGGCAUGAAGGAGAAAUAUAUUUUCAUGUUUGCUUACAAGGAACUCUAGAAGGAUCUGUAAGAAACAAAAUACUACCUGUGGAGGUCAGAUGGCCCUGGACACACAGACUAAAUGACAGGAGGCACAGAUUAGUGCAAAGUGUAUUUUCAGUAUCUGGAAUCAUGUGCCUGUAUUAUAAC